AAAUUGAAGAGUUUGAUCAUGGCUCAGAUUGAACGCUGGCGGCAGGCCUAACACAUGCAAGUCGAACGGUAACAGGAAGCAGCUUGCUGCUUCGCUGACGAGUGGCGGACGGGUGAGUAAUGUCUGGGAAACUGCCUGAUGGAGGGGGAUAACUACUGGAAACGGUGGCUAAUACCGCAUAACGUCGCAAGACCAAAGAGGGGGACCUUCGGGCCUCUUGCCAUCAGAUGUGCCCAGAUGGGAUUAGCUUGUUGGUGAGGUAACGGCUCACCAAGGCAACGAUCCCUAGCUGGUCUGAGAGGAUGACCAGCCACACUGGAACUGAGACACGGUCCAGACUCCUACGGGAGGCAGCAGUGGGGAAUAUUGCACAAUGGGCGCAAGCCUGAUGCAGCCAUGCCGCGUGUAUGAAGAAGGCCUUCGGGUUGUAAAGUACUUUCAGCGGGGAGGAAGGUGUUGUGGUUAAUAACCGCAGCAAUUGACGUUACCCGCAGAAGAAGCACCGG
rnacentral:rRNA from 1 species